UACGAAGGGGGCUAGCGUUGCUCGGAAUCACUGGGCGUAAAGGGUGCGUAGGCGGGUCUUUAAGUCAGGGGUGAAAUCCUGGAGCUCAACUCCAGAACUGCCUUUGAUACUGAAGAUCUUGAGUUCGGGGAGAGGUGAGUGGAACUGCGAGUGUAGAGGUGAAAUUCGUAGAUAUUCGCAAGAACACCAGUGGCGAAGGCGGCUCACUGGCCCGAUACUGACGCUGAUGUACGAAACGUGGGGAGCAAACAGGG
rnacentral:rRNA from 1 species